UACGUAGGGUCCGAGCGUUGUCCGGAAUUACUGGGCGUAAAGCGUGCGUAGGCGGUUCGUUAAGUCUGCUGUGAAAGCCCCGGGCUCAACCUGGGAAUGGCAGUGGAUACUGGCGAGCUAGAGUGUGAUAGAGGAUGGUGGAAUUCCCGGUGUAGCGGUGAAAUGCGUAGAGAUCGGGAGGAACAUCAGUGGCGAAGGCGGCCAUCUGGAUCAACACUGACGCUGAGGCACGAAAGCGUGGGGAGCGAACGGG
rnacentral:rRNA from 1 species